UACGGAGGGGGCUAGCGUUGUUCGGAAUUACUGGGCGUAAAGGGCUCGUAGGCGGCCAACUAAGUCCGACGUGAAAUCCCCAGGCUUAACCUGGGAACUGCGUCGGAUACUGGAUGGCUUGAAUUCGGGAGAGGGAUGCAGAAUUCCAGGUGUAGCGGUGAAAUGCGUAGAUAUCUGGAGGAAUACCGGUGGCGAAGGCGGCAUCCUGGACCGACAUUGACGCUGAUGAGCGAAAGCUAGGGGAGCAAACGGG
rnacentral:rRNA from 1 species